rnacentral:rRNA from 1 species
GACGAACCGUGCGAACGUUGUUCGGAAUCAUUGGGCUUAAAGGGCGCGUAGGCGGGUGGACAAGUCAGGGGUGAAAGCCCACGGCUCAACCGUGGAAGUGCCCUUGAUACUGUCCGUCUGGAGGGAAGGUAGGGGCGUGCGGAACUUCCGGUGGAGGCGGUGGAAAUGCGUAGAUAUACGGAAGGAACACCGGUGGCGAAAGCGGCGCG